rnacentral:rRNA from 1 species
UACGGGGGGGGCAAGCGUUGUUCGGAAUUACUGGGCGUAAAGGGCUCGUAGGUGGCCAACUAAGUCAGACGUGAAAUCCCCAGGCUUAACCUGGGAACUGCGUCUGAUACUGGAUGGCUUGAAUUCGGGAGAGGGAUGCAGAAUUCCAGGUGUAGCGGUGAAAUGCGCAGAUAUCAGGAGGAACACCGGUGGCGAAGGCGGGUCUCUGGGCAGUAACUGACGCUGAGGAGCGAAAGCGUGGGGAGCGAACAGG